rnacentral:lncRNA from 1 species
GGGACUAUUAAACCGUUGGACUGUCGAGUGGACCCCCUCAAAAUAGUCGUCGAACUGAUUUGUACUGAUAGCAAUGAAUCUUCAUAUUAAAUAUCAAUGAUCUAUUACAAGUAGUUCCUAUUAAACUAACUUAAGCAAAAAACUUGUUUUCAAAACAUUUGAACUCCUGUGGUGUAGUAACCAUUCAACGUACCUCAUGUGCACAAGCAC